CAAAGAUUUCAGCCCAUUUCUGAUGGCCAGAUAACUGAAGAGAUGGUGUUGUGGAUUUCCACUUCGGCAUCCAAAACUCAGACUUAUCUUGGCUAUUGAGUAAUUGUCGCAUAUUUAUUUUACAGAUAAAUUUCUUCUAUUUACAUAAUAUUGAGGUCUCUUUCUUUCUUUUGUCAUCUUACUGUUUUUACCUAUAUAUAUAUAUAUAUAUAUAUA